rnacentral:rRNA from 1 species
GACCUCGGAUCAGGUAGGGAUACCCGCUGAACUUAAGCAUAUCAAUAAGCGGAGGAAAAGAAACCAACAGGGAUUGCCUCAGUAACGGCGAGUGAAGCGGCAACAGCUCAAAUUUGAAAUCUGGCUCUUUCAGGGUCCGAGUUGUAAUUUGUAGAAGAUGCUUUGGGUGUGGCUCCGGUCUAAGUUCCUUGGAACAGGACGUCAUAGAGGGUGAGAAUCCCGUAUGUGACUGGUUGCCUUCGCCCGUGUAAAGCUCUUUCGACGAGUCGAGUUGUUUGGGAAUGCAGCUCAAAAUGGGUGGUAAAUUUCAUCUAAAGCUAAAUAUUGGCCAGAGACCGAUAGCGCACAAGUAGAGUGAUCGAAAGAUGAAAAGCACUUUGGAAAGAGAGUUAAACAGUACGCGAAAUUGUUGAAAGGGAAGCGCUUGCAACCAG